GGCGUCAUAGCUCAGCUGGGAGAGCAGCAGACUGAAGAAAGCCGCGUGUCACGUGACUUAGACAUCUGAAGGUCCCGUGUUCAAUCCACGGUGAUGCCA